UACGUAGGGAGCAAGCGUUGUCCGGAAUCAUUGGGCGUAAAGCGCGCGUAGGCGGCCCGAUAAGUCCGCUGUAAAAGUCAACGGCUCAACUGUUGAAAGCCGGUGGAUACUGUCGGGCUAGAGUACGGAAGAGGCGAGUGGAAUUCCUGGUGUAGCGGUGGAAUGCGCAGAUAUCAGGAGGAACACCCAUAGCGAAGGCAGCUUGCUGGGACGUUACUGACGCUAAGGCGCGAAAGCGUGGGGAGCGAACAGG
rnacentral:rRNA from 1 species